GACGAACGCUGGCGGCGUGCUUAACACAUGCAAGUCGAACGAAGUGGCGAACGGGUGAGUAACGCGUAAUCAACCUGCCUUUAAGAGGGGGACAACAGUUGGAAACGACUGCUAAUACCGCAUACUUAAGGAGGGGAGUGCGUCUGAUUAGGUAGUUGGAGGGGUAACGGGCCACCAAGGCGAUGAUCAGUAGCCGGUCUGGAGGGAUGAACGGCACAAUUGGGAAUGGGACAAGGCCCAGGCUCCUUCGGGAGGGAGCAGUGGGGAAUCAUCGGCAAUGGGCGAAAGUCUGGCGGAGCAACGGCGCGUGGGAGGUGGCGGCCUUCGGGUUGUAAAGGUCUUUUAAUCGGGGCGCGGUACCGGAAGAAGAAGCAACGGCUAACUACGUGCCAGCAGCCGCGGUAAUAC
rnacentral:rRNA from 1 species